rnacentral:lncRNA from 1 species
CUCCUCCUCCAAUUCUAUUUAUGAGGCAAAUCAAUACCACCAUUUUCUUCCACGCUAACCUUUGCGACCCCAUUUUUUCUCUUCGUGGCAGCUCCCUUCACCUCCACCUCUUCUUUGCCAGUAACCCUUUCUUCCUCUUUGUUCCCUUUCUCUCCAUCUCUUUUUCCUUCUCAUCCUCCUCUUAUAUGAGCAAGGAGCAUUUUCGUUUGUUGAAAUGGCAAGCUAACACCAUUUACUAGUAAGUAAAUGAUAGGAUCACAUUAGAACAUUUUGAUAAUUAGAAUAAUCAGUUUGAUGCUUUUUAAAAUAUAGAUUGUAUAAGUGAAAUCGAAUUAAAUUUGAAUGAGUAUUUCUAUAAUUUAUCUUAAUAUGUGUUGUUAUUAUUGUUGUUGUUGGGAA